rnacentral:rRNA from 1 species
GAUGAACGCUGGCGGCGUGCCUAAUACAUGCAAGUCGAGCGAACGGACGAGAAGCUUGCUUCUCUGAUGUUAGCGGCGGACGGGUGAGUAACACGUGGAUAACCUACCUAUAAGACUGGGAUAACUUCGGGAAACCGGAGCUAAUACCGGAUAAUAUUUUGAACCGCAUGGUUCAAAAGUGAAAGACGGUCUUGCUGUCACUUAUAGAUGGAUCCGCGCUGCAUUAGCUAGUUGGUAAGGUAACGGCUUACCAAGGCGACGAUGCAUAGCCGACCUGAGAGGGUGAUCGGCCACACUGGAACUGAGACACGGUCCAGACUCCUACGGGAGGCAGCAGUAGGGAAUCUUCCGCAAUGGGCGAAAGCCUGACGGAGCAACGCCGCGUGAGUGAUGAAGGUCUUCGGAUCGUAAAACUCUGUUAUUAGGGAAGAACAUAUGUGUAAGUAACUGUGCACAUCUUGACGGUACCUAAACAGAAAGCCACGGCUAACUACGUG